UACGGAGGGUGCAAGCGUUAUCCGGAUUUACUGGGUUUAAAGGGUGCGCAGGCGGAUAUGUAAGUCAGUGGUGAAAUCUCUAGGCUUAACCUGGAAAUUGCCGUUGAUACUAUAUAUCUUGAAUGCUGUGGAGGUAAGCGGAAUAUGUCAUGUAGCGGUGAAAUGCUUAGAUAUGACAUAGAACACCUAUUGCGAAGGCAGCUUACUACGCAGAUAUUGACGCUCAUGCACGAAAGCGUGGGGGAUCAAACAGG
rnacentral:rRNA from 1 species